GUCAACAACCCCCCACUAGAAGUGGGGGGCUUGCAGGAGCAAUCCUACAAGCUCCAAGUUGACCAGACUCAGCAUUUUUUAGGUGCUACGUUACCGUAGAAAGCUACAACAGGUACGGCAGGGUGCUUCUCCAGCCUUGCCCACUACGGUCAGUGAUUAAACAGGUUUAAAUGGGUUAAGCCCAGUGUUGCUGACAUUCAAACCUACGGAUAACAUUGUCGAGGAGAUAUUUAC
rfam:Anaerolineaceae bacterium 4572_78 ex4572_78_scaffold_2694, whole genome shotgun sequence.